AUAGCGUAUAUUAAAGUUGUUGCAGUUAAAAAGCUCGUAGUUGAACUUCAGACCUGGCUGGAUGGUCUGCCUAACGGUAUGUACUGUCUGGCUGGGCCUUACCUCUUGGUGAGCCGGCAUGCCCUUCACUGGGUGUGUUGGGGAACCAGGACUUUUACCUUGAGAAAAUUAGAGUGUUCAAAGCAGGCUCACGCCCGAAUACAUUAGCAUGGAAUAAUAAAAUAGGACGUGCGGUUCUAUUUUGUUGGUUUCUAGAGUCGCCGUAAUGAUUAAUAGGGAUAGUUGGGGGCAUUAGUAUUCAGUUGCUAGAGGUGAAAUUCUUAGAUUUACUGAAGACUAACUACUG
rnacentral:rRNA from 1 species